rnacentral:rRNA from 1 species
CCUACGGGUUGCAGCAGUGAGGAAUAUUGGUCAAUGGGCGGAAGCCUGAACCAGCCAAGUCGCGUGAGGGAAUAAGGCCCUACGGGUCGUAAACCUCUUUUGCCGGGGAGCAAGGGCGGGGACGUGUUCCGGCCCGGAGAGUACCCGGAGAAAAAGCAUCGGCUAACUCCGUGCCAGCAGCCGCGGUAAUACGGAGGAUGCGAGCGUUAUCCGUAUUUAUUGGGUUUGAAGGGUGCGUAGGCGGGCUUUUAAGUCAGCGGUAAAAAGUCGGGGCUCAACCCCGUCCGGCCGUGGACACGGGGGGCCUUGAGUGGGCGAGAAGUAUGCGGAAUGCGUGGUGUAGCGGUGAAAUACAUAGAUAUCACGCAGAACUCCGAUUGCGAAGGCAGCAUACCGGCGCCCAACUGACGCUGAAGCACGAAAGCGUGGGUAUCGAACAGGAUUAGAUACCCGGGUAGUC